rnacentral:rRNA from 1 species
UACGUAGGGUGCAAGCGUUAUCCGGAAUCAUUGGGCGUAAAGGGCGCGUAGGUGGCCACUUCAAGCGUGCCGGUGAAAGUCGGGGGCUCAACCCCUGAUCGGCCGUGCGAACUGGGGGGCUGGAGCACUGUAGAGGCGAAGGCGGGAAUUCCGGGUGUGAGCGGUGGAAUGCGUAGAGAGUCCGGAAGAACACCGGUGGCGAAGGCGGCCUGCUGGGCAGUUUUGCUGACACUGAGGCGCGGACAGCGUGGGGAGCAAACAGG